UACGUAGGGUGCAAGCGUUGUCCGGAAUUAUUGGGCGUAAAGAGCUCGUAGGCGGUUUGUUGCGUCGGCUGUGAAAUCCCGAGGCUCAACCUCGGGUCUGCAGUCGAUACGAGCAAACUAGAGUGUUGCAGGGGAGACUGGAAUUCCUGGUGUAGCGGUGAAAUGCGCAGAUAUCAGGAGGAACACCGGUGGCGAAGGCAGCUCGCUGGGACGGUACUGACGCUGAGGCGCGAAAGCGUGGGGAGCGAACAGG
rnacentral:rRNA from 1 species